UGGGGAAUAUUGCACAAUGGGGGAAACCCUGAUGCAGCGACGCCGCGUGAACGAAGAAGGUAUUCGUAUCGUAAAGUUCUGUCCUAUGGGAAGAUAAUGACAGUACCAUAGAAGAAAGCUCCGGCUAAAUACGUGCCAGCAGCCGCGGUAAUACGUAUGGAGCGAGCGUUGUCCGGAAUUAUUGGGCGUAAAGGGUACGCAGGCGGUUUAAUAAGUCGAAUGUUAAAGAUCGGGGCUCAACCCCGUAAAGCAUUGGAAACUGAUAAACUUGAGUAGUGGAGAGGAAAGUGGAAUUCCUAGUGUAGUGGUGAAAUACGUAGAUAUUAGGAGGAAUAACAGUAGCGAAGGCGACUUUCUGGACAAAAAAUGACGCUGAGGUACGAAAGCGUGGGGAGCAAACAGG
rnacentral:rRNA from 1 species